UGCCAGCCGCCGCGGUAAGACGUAGGUGGCGAGCGUUAUUCGGAUUUACUGGGCGUAAAGGGUCCGUAGGGGGUUUGUUAAGUUUGGUGUGAAAUCCCAUGGCUCAACCAUGGAAUUGCAUUGGAUACUGAUAGACUAGAGUACGAGAGAGGUGAGUGGAAUUUUCGGUGUAGCGGUGGAAUGCGUAGAUAUCGAAAGGAACACCAAAGGCGAAGGCAGCUCACUGGCUCGUUACUGACCCUGAGGGACGAAAGUUAGGGUAGCGAACAGGAUUAGAUA
rnacentral:rRNA from 1 species